GAUGAACGCUGGCGGCGUGCCUAAUACAUGCAAGUCGAGCGAACAGACGAGGAGCUUGCUCCUCUGACGUUAGCGGCGGACGGGUGAGUAACACGUGGAUAACCUACCUAUAAGACUGGGAUAACUUCGGGAAACCGGAGCUAAUACCGGAUAAUAUAUUGAACCGCAUGGUUCAAUAGUGAAAGACGGUUUUGCUGUCACUUAUAGAUGGAUCCGCGCCGCAUUAGCUAGUUGGUAAGGUAACGGCUUACCAAGGCAACGAUGCGUAGCCGACCUGAGAGGGUGAUCGGCCACACUGGAACUUAGACACGGUCCAGACUCCUACGGGAGGCAGCAGUAGGGAAUCUUCCGCAAUGGGCGAAAGCUUGACGGAGCAACGCCGCGCGAGUGAUGAAGGUCUUCGGAUCGUAAAACUCUGUUAUUAGGGAAGAACAAAUGUGUAAGUAACUAUGCACGUCUUGACGGUACCUAAUCAGAAAGCCACGGCUAACUACGUG
rnacentral:rRNA from 1 species